CGCGAACUGAUUCCGCUGAUGCAGGUGCAGGGCACCGACGAGGAAGAGGCCGCGGUGACGCUCGGCGCAGGCGGCUUCACCACAUUCUGGCGCGUUACGCUGCCGAACGUGAAAUGGGCAGUUGUCUAUGGCGCCAUCCUCUGCAACGCGCGCGUGAUGGGGGAGUUCGGCGCGGUGUCGGUGGUCUCCGGCAACAUCCGUGGCCAGACCA
rnacentral:misc_RNA from 1 species